rnacentral:rRNA from 1 species
CCUACGGGGGGCAGCAGUGGGGGAUAUUGCACAAUGGGGGGAACCCUGAUGCAGCGACGCCGCGUGGGUGAAGAAGCGCCUCGGCGCGUAAAGCCCUGUCAGCAGGGAAGAAAAUGACGGUACCUGAAGAAGAAGCCCCGGCUAACUACGUGCCAGCAGCCGCGGUAAUACGUAGGGGGCAAGCGUUAUCCGGAUUUACUGGGUGUAAAGGGGGCGCAGAGGGCGAUGAAAGCCAGGAGUGAAAGCCCGGGGGCCAACCCCGGGACUGCUCUUGGAACUGCGUGGCUGGAGUGCAGGAGGGGCAGGCGGAAUUCCUGGUGUAGCGGUGAAAUGCGUAGAUAUCAGGAGGAACACCGGUGGCGAAGGCGGCCUGCUGGACUGCAACUGACGUUGAGGCCCGAAAGCGUGGGGAGCAAACAGGAUUAGAUACCCUAGUAGUC